rnacentral:rRNA from 1 species
AGUGAAGCGGCAACAGCUCAAAUUUGAAAUCUGGCCCUUUCGGGGUCCGAGUUGUAAUUUGUAGAGAGUGUUUCGGGUGAGAUCACGGUCUAAGUCCAUUGGAACAUGGCGUCAUAGAGGGUGAGAAUCCCGUAUGUGACUGUGGAUCGAGCCCAUGUGAAGCCUCUUCGACGAGUCGAGUUGUUUGGGAAUGCAGCUCAAAAUGGGUGGUAAAUUUCAUCUAAAGCUAAAUACUGGCUGGAGACCGAUAGCGCACAAGUAGAGUGAUCGAAAGAUGAAAAGCACUUUGGAAAGAGAGUCAAACAGUACGUGAAAUUGUUGAAAGGGAAGCGCUUGCAACCAGACCUGUCCGUAGGUGAUCAGCCGCUGUUCUCAGUGGUGCACUCGCUCUGCGAUCAGGCCAGCAUCGGUUCGGGCGGUCGGAUAAAGGCCUUGGGAAUGUAGCUUCUUUCGGGAAGCCUUAUAGCCCUCGGUGCAAUGCGGCCAGCCGGGACCGAGGACCGCGCUUCGGCUAGGAUGCUGGCGUAAUGGUUGUAAGCGACCCGUCUUGAAACACGGACCAAGGAGUCUAACAUCUAUGCGAGUGUUUGGGUGUUAAACCCAUGCGCGGAAUGAAAGUGAACGGAGGUGAGAACCCUUAAGGGCGCAUCAUCGACCGAUCCAGAUGUCUUCGGAUGGAUUUGAGUAUGAGCAUAGCUGUUGGGACCCGAAAGAUGGUGAACUAUGCCUGAAUAGGGUGAAGCCAGAGGAAACUCUGGUGGAGGCUCGCAGCGGUUCUGACGUGCAAAUCGAUCGUCAAAUUUGGGUAUAGGGCGAAAGA